rnacentral:tRNA from 1 species
AGGGGUGUAGCUCAGUGGUAGAGUACUUACCUAGUAUGGGCAAGGCCCUGGGUUCAUUUCCCAGCACCACAA